rnacentral:lncRNA from 1 species
GGGGCGCGGGGGCCGCUCCCGGGCGGCCCUGCCGACCGGCCGCCGCGCCGGAUUCCCUCAGGGCUUCUCGCAGCACCUCCCUCGCCUGCCUCCGCCCCCACCCCCGGCCGCGUCCAGCGGCUGCCCCAGCUGCUGGGGACGGCCGCCGCGUCUCCUUCGUCCGGUGUCGAGCGGGCAAGGUGGUGGGGCGGCGGCGCCGGACGGGACGGGACGGGACGAGACGGGACGGGACGGACGGUCCCCCGGGGCCAGGUGAGCGGCUGCUGGGCUGGCGGGAGGAGAGGCGGCCGGAGGCGGCGGGCGGUCGAGGGCGAGGAGGGACGGGGAAAGCGCAGGCUGCGAAGGUGGGAGUCGCCCUGCGUUGCCGGGCUUGAGGUGAGCGAGUCUCCAGGGCGGGGCGGCAGAGGUGCGCGGCUCUCCGUGGAUGGGCUUUCCCGCCCACCCCUCCCCGUGGGGGGACGACGGGGGUGACGGCAGAAGGGUCGGGCGGGAAAGGCUGGCGGAGGAGGGCAGGUCGGGGAGGCUUAGGCUCCCCGCUUAGUCACGUUCCCCUCACGGAUCCUUCCUUCCCCUUGAGUGGCGCUUUGGGGGUUUGGGCCGGCCGGGCGGCUGCGCUUGGCUGAGGGGAGACCCCGCCUGCAGAGCGUGCUGCGGGGAGGGGGCCGCGCGCUGCCGAGGCCGUUGGCGGCCGUUGGUGGCCGUUGGUGGCCCUUGGGACUGUCGGCCGGGCCGGCUGCGGGGUGUGAGGCCACGGUAAGGGGACUGCGGGGGACGCCUUUCCGAGCUCGUCUUGUUGGGGCACCUCUCUUCUUACCAGAAUGGUUGCCCGGGGAAAACAGCACUGCUAUGUUGGCAGAAUACAGGACGUUUUCUUGAGAUUCGGGAUUGUUCUAACAGUCCUUUUACUUCAUUUGUUCCUGGCCACAGCAAGCAAAGAUCAGGAGGAUUUCCUAGGACGCUAUAAAGCCAUCUUUAAGACUGCAUGUGAGGAUCCUUGGAUUAUGUCACCAAGAAUUUCUCUGCAUCCCUUGAAAGAAUUCAUUGUCUGUGUGCACCUCAAGCUAUAUUCCUCAAAUAGUCCCUGGACAGCAUAUGUAUACAGCCAGGAAACAUCUCACAGCAAUGUCUCUGCAAAUAAGUAUGAUCUUGGACUUACAGGAGAUCAUGGUAAAUUGAGGAUAUGGUUGUUUGGAAAACAAAUACAUACAACAGCAAGACUUCGUGACAACACUUGGAAUGACAUAUGUAUCCAGUGGAAAAGUGAAGAUGAGGAGAUGAAGGUAUUUAUAAAUGGAACAAAAAAAGUAAGCAAAAAAAUAACUGGGAAAGUUAAUCUCCCUGGAAAAGGACAGUUCUUACUUGGCUGUUCAAAGCUGCCAGGUACAGCUAUAUCACCUAACCUGGGUAUGACAGGGGAGCUCUACAUGUUCAGAAUGUGGGAUAAAGCAAAUAUAAAGCAAUCGGAGGACUGUGAAGAUAGUGGUGUUAUACGCUGGAGAAAGGAGGAUUGGGUCUAUAAUAAGACCAUAGAAGAGGAUAACUCUUUGCCAUGUGUUGAAACUACUGCUACGUUGCCUGGCAGAAAACAGAUAACAGGUAAUGGAGGUUCUGUAUGUUUUUUUCCCCAUUGUUCUUGUAUUUUGGAAAGUGCAUAAUGAAGAUUGCUGAUAGUAUUACUUUUUAAUUUAUGGAGAUAGUUAAGUAUAUGUAAAUAUUUGCAAAUUAAUUAUCCAUAUCAUCCUUGUGGCUUAUUAGCAUAUUUCAUGGUGCAAACAACAUCAGUAAUUUUCCAGAGAAAAUGAAAAUAAGGUCACUGAGGUUACUCCGAUUCUCCUUUCAUUGCAGAAAUUAUAUUUACAUUUAUCCUUUGGAAAGAAGCUAUUACUAGUUUUCAGUAAGGCAAGCAAAAUACUCUGAGCAAGGAAUCAUGUGAGUGAUUAGCAUUUCAGGAACUCCUUGUUUACUCCUUGUUUCAGGUAUCUCUGAAUAACUCUUCUACAAUAGUAGGAAAGGCCUUACAGUGUAAUUAGUGCAUUGUGAGUAACAAUCUAG